rnacentral:misc_RNA from 1 species
UUCUAUGGAGAUAAAAACAAAACAGAUUGACUAUUAUAUGUUCUAUUUAGUUUUCAGGGAUUAUUUAAAUAUAAU